AGUAUUGGCCAGUUGCAGUAUCGUAACCAAUGAGGUUUAACCGAGGUGUGAUUAUUGAUAGUUGAAAUCUAUUCCCAAUACCCCGCCUGGACUUCGUGAAAGACCGACGGCUUCGGUAAUCUUUGAUAGCUCGAUCAGGGG
rnacentral:snRNA from 1 species